CCGAGUUUACAACUCCCAAACCCCUGUGAACAUACCUAUACGUUGCCUCGGCGGAUCAGCCCGCGCCCCGUAAAAAGGGACGGCCCCGCCCGAGGACCCCUAAACUCUGUUUUUAGUGGAACUUCUGAGUAAAACAAACAAAUAAAUCA
rnacentral:misc_RNA from 1 species